CCAUCACAUGGAUUAUUCGAGCUCAGAUUUUGCUAAAUUGAAAUACAUUGAUGCAUAUCUCCUACUAAUUAGGAGGGGUCAAUCCUAUUUUGACUCACGCACCGACUUAACAAGUACUUGACUACAUCCAAAAAUCUUCUGUCAUUGAAUUAGAAACUCAGUUAGUUUGAUACUAAAGUACAGUGAGUUGCUUGCAAGUCAUCAUGGUGAUCUC
rnacentral:lncRNA from 1 species